UUUGGGUCGCAUGUAUAAUCUUGUAUCUCGAAUCCAGGACGGCCUAGGAGAACUGAAAAAACUUUUGGAGACACAUAUUCAUAAUCAGGGUCUUGCAGCAAUUGGAAAGUGUGGAGAAGCUGCUUUAAAUGAUCCAAAAAUGUACGUGCAGACAGUGUUGGAUGUUCAUAAAAAGUAUAACGCCCUGGUCAUGUCAGCAUUCAUAACGACGCGGGCUUCGUGGCCGCCCUGGACAAGGCUUGUGGGCGCUUCAUAAACAACAACGCUGUCACCAAGAUGGCUCAGGCGUCCAGUAAGUCCCCCGAGUUGCUGGCUCGAUACUGUGACUCCUUGUUGAAGAAGAGUUCCAAGAACCCAGAAGAAGCAGAACUAGAAGAUACACUCAAUCAAGUGAUGGUUGUCUUCAAGUACAUAGAGGACAAGGAUGUGUUCCAGAAGUUCUAUGCGAAGAUGCUGGCCAAAAGACUCGUGCACCAGAACAGUGCGAGUGAUGAUGCCAAAGCAAGCAUGAUCUCCAAAUUAAAGCAAGCAUGUGGGUAUGAGUAUACCUCUAAACUUCAGCGGAUGUUUCAGGACGUUGGCGUGAGCAAAGAUCUAAACGAACAGUUCAAAAAGCACCUGACAAAUUCAGAGCCACUGGACUUGGACUUCAGUAUCCAGGUGCCGAGCUCCGGCUCGUGGCCCUUCCAGCAGUCCUGCACGUUCGCCUUGCCGUCAGAGCUGGAACGUAGCUACCAGCGAUUCACUGCUUUCUACGCUAGUCGUCAUAGCGGCAGGAAGCUGACGUGGUUGUACCAACUCUCCAAAGGAGAGCUGGUCACAAACUGCUUCAAGAACAGAUACACUUUGCAGGCAUCUACAUUCCAGAUGGCAAUCCUGCUUCAAUACAACACAGAAGAUGUUUACGUGGUGCAGCAGCUGACGGACAGCACUCAAAUCAAAAUGGACAUUUUGGCACAAGUCCUACAGAUUUUAUUGAAGUCGAAGUUAUUGGUCUUGGAAGAUGAAAAUGCAAAUGUUGAUGAGGUGGAAUUGAAGCCAGAUACCUUGAUAAAAUUAUAUCUUGGUUAUAAAAAUAAGAAAUUAAGGGUUAACAUCAAUGUGCCAAUGAAAACCGAACAGAAGCAGGAACAAGAAACUACACACAAAAAUAUUGAAGAGGACCGGAAACUGCUGAUCCAGGCUGGGAUUGUGAGGAUCAUGAAGAUGCGGAAGGUCCUGAAGCACCAGCAGCUGCUUGGGGAGGUGCUCACUCAGCUGUCCUCACGGUUCAAGCCACGGGUCCCGGUCAUCAAGAAAUGCAUUGAUAUUCUGAUCGAGAAAGAAUAUUUGGAGCGAGUUGAUGGUGAAAAGGACACCUACAGUUACUUGGCUUAACCCUUGUAGAGGGUCUGACUGUGCCACCGCGGCCAAUGUUCCUGGUGGGCAGGAUGACGACCAGUUCCUAGCAGCCGCCUGCACCACUGGCCUCCCUUUUUAAACUGAGACCAAGACUCCCAUCAGCCGGUCUCAGAUGUACAUCAGAACUGCUCAGGAUCGAUACAUUUCAAGUCUGUAAAUAUGGACACCGACGCCAUUUAACCUAAUUUAAGAACAGAGGGGAAUGAACCGUCAUGCUGAGGGCUGCAUGCUACUGCAUCUAGAUCAAUACAUCGGCUACGUGCUAACAGCUGCCUCCGUCUCAGCAGCACUGAGUGUCGGCCACACUUUGAGAGAAGUCUGAAUGGACCCGCGUGUAAUCUGCUCUGAAAACCAUUUGUAUAGUGUGUUUCAUUUUUUAAUGUGUGAAAUAAAGAAAAUUAAAGGAAAAAAAAAA